CAGUUUGUGGGUUCAGAGUGACGUGCAUCGGUCUAAACAGCUGGUCCAACAGAGACUGAGUCAGCAGCAGCAGCUGCAGCAACAGCAGCUUCACCGCUCUGACUCUGUGCAGGGAGGGAACAGGAGGCAGUGUCCUCGCUGCUUUCCAGCAUGGAUGACCUGUCAAUCAACACCGUGCUCUGCAAGUCAUAUAGCUUGGAUGAGAAUAACUGCAAAGAAGUCAGUCUGACACAGGGAGACAAACUGAGAGCACUGAAGGGAAAACGCCCACCGAGAUCAGCGUCAUCCUGCUCAAGGUUAAACCUGUCCAAGACUUCACACUGCUCCAUCCUCCCUCCCCCGAAGCCCUCCAAAGUCCACCUUUCCCUCACCCCCUCUUCUACUAAAAAGCUGAGAUGAAGUUCCUCUACCACCACUGCUCUGCAGAUCAGGAG
ensembl:lncRNA